AGCCAGACUCCUACGGGAGGCAGCAGUGGGGAAUAUUGCACAAUGGGGGAAACCCUGAUGCAGCGACGCCGCGUGAGUGAAGAGGUAUUUCGGUAUGUAAAGCUCUAUCAGCAGGGAAGAAAAUGACGGUACCUGACUAAGAAGCCCCGGCUAACUACGUGCCAGCAGCCGCGGUAAUACGUAGGGGGCAAGCGUUAUCCGGAUUUACUGGGUGUAAAGGGAGCGUAGACGGCAUGGCAAGUCAGAUGUGAAAGCCCGGGGCUCAACCCCGGGACUGCAUUUGAAACUGUCAGGCUGGAGUGCAGGAGAGGUAAGUGGAAUUCCUAGUGUAGCGGUGAAAUGCGUAGAUAUUAGGAGGAACACCAGUGGCGAAGGCGGCUUACUGGACUGUAACUGACGUUGAGGCUCGAAAGCGUGGGGAGCAAACAGGAUUAGAUACCCGUGUA
rnacentral:rRNA from 1 species